AGGGAUCAGCAACCUCUGGCACUCCAGCUGUUCUGAAACUACAACUCCCAGAAUCCUCCUUUCACUUCUAUGGGAGUUACAAGAACAGUGGAGUAAGUGUGCAUGAUAGGAGUUGUAAUUUUACGGAAGCUGGAGUGCCAGAGGUUGCUGAUCCCUGUCUUAGGCCUCUUUCACACGACCAUUUUUU